rnacentral:rRNA from 1 species
AGGACGAACGCUGGCGGCGUGCUUAACACAUGCAAGUCGAGCGGAAAGGCCCUUUCGGGGGUACUCGAGCGGCGAACGGGUGAGUAACACGUGAGUAACCUGCCCUUGGCUUUGGGAUAACCCUCGGAAACGGGGGCUAAUACCGAAUAUUCACUGCUCCUCGCAUGGGGGGUGGUGGAAAGAUUUUUUGGCUGGGGAUGGGCUCGCGGCCUAUCAGCUUGUUGGUGGGGUGAUGGCCUACCAAGGCGACGACGGGUAGCCGGCCUGAGAGGGCGACCGGCCACACUGGGACUGAGACACGGCCCAGACUCCUACGGGAGGCAGCAGUGGGGAAUCUUGCGCAAUGGGCGAAAGCCUGACGCAGCGACGCCGCGUGGGGAUGAAGGCCUUCGGGUUGUAAACCCUUUCAGCAGGGACGAAGCGAAAGUGACGGUACCUGCAGAAGAAGCGCCGGCUAACUACGCGCCAGCAGCGC